UACGGCCGCAUCACGUUGAAACACCGAUUCCCGUACGAUGCCAAAGUUAAGCAAUGUCAAGCUUGGUCAGUACCUUGAUGGGUGACCGCUUGGGUAUACCAGGUGGUGUAAG